rnacentral:misc_RNA from 1 species
AAAUCGUUUGAUAAUGUUACGUGCUAGGGUUCGAAGGAUUUGGAGAGAAAGACCUGCUGACUCUUUUCAAGACUUUAUUCACAAGCACGAGGUCCAACACAAAGCACUAGGUUCAAACACUAAGCACUAACAAUGUCCUAAGUCGUAGCCAAUGUCGUAGGUUUCGCUGGUACCACUCUUGAUCACUAGUUUUCACUCUUGAAGUCGCCUCGAAGAUCGCUCAAACUGAACUGUCUCGCUCGCCUCGCUGCGGCUAUUUAUAUCGGCCGAGACGAGGCCCAGACCAUUCUGGAAAGUU